rnacentral:rRNA from 1 species
GUUACGGCCUCGGUCCCUAACCGCGCGAAGGUAGCAUAAUCACUUGUUCUUUAAAUAAGGACCUGUAUCAACGGCAUCACGAGGGCUGAACUGUCUCCCCUUUCUAAUCAGUGAAUCUGACCUCUUCGUGAAGAAGCGAAGAUAAAAAAAUAAGACGAGAAGACCCCAUGGAGCUUAAAACCAAGUAGCACACUUUUUCUAAUACACCUUAAAAAAUAGGAGACCUGCUACCUAGUUUUUGGCUGGGGCAUCCAAGGAGUAUAAUCUAACCUCCCUGACAAAAAUCUAAGAGUUACAACUCUAAGAGGCAGUAAACUGAUGUAAAAUGACCCGAAUAUCGAUCAACGAACCAAGUUACCCUGGGGAUAACAGCGCAAUCCAUUUUGAGAGCCCCUAUCGACGAAUGGGUUUACGACCUCGAUGUUGGAUCAGGGUAUCCCAGUGGUGCAGCCGCUACUAAAGGUUCGUUUGUUCAACGAUUAAAACCCUACGUGAUCUGAU